rnacentral:rRNA from 1 species
UGGGGAAUAUUGCACAAUGGGCGCAAGCCUGAUGCAGCCAUGCCGCGUGUGUGAAGAAGGCCUUCGGGUUGUAAAGCACUUUCAGCGAGGAGGAAGGUGGUGAGCUUAAUACGCUCAUCAAUCGACGUUACUCGCAGAAGAAGCACCGGCUAACUCCGUGCCAGCAGCCGCGGUAAUACGGAGGGUGCAAGCGUUAAUCGGAAUUACUGGGCGUAAAGCGCACGCAGGCGGUUUGUUAAGUCAGAUGUGAAAUCCCCGGGCUCAACCUGGGAACUGCAUUUGAAACUGGCAAGCUAGAGUCUCGUAGAGGGGGGUAGAAUUCCAGGUGUAGCGGUGAAAUGCGUAGAGAUCUGGAGGAAUACCGGUGGCGAAGGCGGCCCCCUGGACGAAGACUGACGCUCAGGUGCGAAAGCGUGGGGCAGCAAACAGGAUUAGAUACCCUGGUAGUCCACGCUGUAAAACGAUGUCGAUUUUGGAGGUUGUGCCCUUGAGGCGUGGCUUCCGGAGCUAACGCGUUAAAUCGACCGCCUGGGGAGUACGGCCGCAAGGUU